rnacentral:lncRNA from 1 species
CCGGCCCUUGCUCCCGCGGACCCAGGUCGCCAGGGUCGCAAGUUUCUCCGGCCACCCCCCUGCGAAGCCUGACCCGCCUACUGACUGAAACCACGGGCAAAGUUCCUUUUCGUCUUUCUUCCUCUUCUCUGGGCCGCGCCGCUUCGAACCCGAGCCGGGGGUGGAAGAGUCGCCCAGGCGGCGGCGCUGAGGGAGCGAAACCCGACCUCUUCCCCGUCCACGGCCUCCUCUUUCCUCCGAACCCAGCGCGGCAGGGCUUCCCUGCUCUGUGUGCAGUUUCGCUCGAAGGAGGAGGUCACCCUGCUGAUUGCCUUCAUCUGUGUGCGGAGCUCCCUGUGGACCAACUACAGCGCCUACAGCUACUUUGAAGUGGUCACCAUUUGCGACUUGAUAAUGAUCCUCGCCUUUUACCUGGUCCACCUCUUCCGCUUCUACCGCGUGCUCACCUGUAUCAGCUGGCCCCUGUCGGAACUUCUGCACUAUUUAAUCGGUACCCUGCUCCUCCUCAUCGCCUCCAUUGUGGCAGCUUCCAAGAGUUACAACCAGAGCGGACUGGUAGCCGGAGCGAUCUUUGGUUUCAUGGCCACCUUCCUCUGCAUGGCAAGCAUAUGGCUGUCCUAUAAGAUCUCGUGUGUAACCCAGUCCACAGAUGCAGCCGUCUGAUGAGGCCACAACCCCUAGGCCCCUCAGGAGCUUUGCAGAGAGGAGGACGUGUACUCCAGGCGAGGCCUCUGGACCUGUGUUCCUGUGCCAAAGUCCUGUCAGGCUGGUGGGCACCAGGAAAGGCCUGCACCCUCUUCCUGCUCUCCCAGGAAGCCAGCUCCCUGAGCUCCUGAGCCAGCCGGAAACUCUUCCUCCAGCCUUCCGGGGAGAACAUCCCUCCCAUUCUGGGAAAGGAAAGCAGCCUCCAGGGAAAUGUUUUCUGCCUUCCUGCUUCUAGAACCACCUCAGGUACUGAUGAACCCCACUUAGCACAGCUGAAGGGGUUUGUGAAUACUCCCGCCUAAAUCCCUUCUACUUCACUCCUCAGGGGAGUGAAGUGCCUUAAGAAACAAAGCCCUGUCCUAAUUUAUCUAGCUUGUCAGUCCGGUCUUAGAGAUACCCUCUUUCCUGAAGUGAGGCGUGCCUGUAGAAACACUAUGUGGUCAGCCUGUCCCCAAGGAGAUCUUGUGUCUCCUCUCCAUCUCUGCCUUUGUUACCAGUGUGCAUGUGUUUGUGUGUUUUUUAA